rnacentral:lncRNA from 1 species
CGUGAAAAGUAGGGUUUCCUAAAGGUUCAAUUCUGCUCUGCAAAGUUAGGCUGCGGUUCAACAGGAAACAAAACGAAAAAACACUUUGGCAGUGACGUCAAAAUCGUGCGUGUUCAGCAUAGUAGAGAAAGAAAACGGAAAGGCAACAAAAGGGCACAUGGAAUCAAGCCGGUUAAUCCGGAAACGGGAACAAGCUCCGUUGGUCGCGAGUUGUUCCAAAGUAGGCAGGACCUCGUAGAGAGUCGAUUAUUAAACAUUAUUACCACCCCUGCGCAUCAUGACAAAAAUAUAUCUAAUAACCGUAAUCUCCUUGAACUUCAAAAAUUAAAUUUAUCGAAAGAUUUGAUAAGCAAAUGCCUGUUGAUAUUUUUGAACAGGAGUGUUUAUUCCUGCUGUGUUCAAAUCGACCUUGUUUACCACAGAGGCGGGCGAGGGGCUGAUUUGCGUGAGAAAGAGACAAAGAAUUCUUUGAGAGUUUUGUUUGAGCACAACAGUUACCACAGGGAGUAUAUUGAACAUCGUAAAGCUCUCAUUAAGAAGGUCUAAGAAACGUGAGUGAUGAGUACACAGUUAUUUUGAUAAAGUAGCAACUAAUUUAAGCCUGCGGACAUGCUGGCCUGCAGGUCGGUGUUGACACUUACCCGUUCACUUUCCAUAAAGAUUUCAUUCCGACUUCGUUACCUUUGAAUCACAGCCACUUUCAGGUAUAAAAAUUUCGCCACUAAGUUUGAGUGGCAAGCCUUUCAAAUUUCUAUCGUACUGAAACGACAAGUGGUCUUAUGGUUGACAAGUCUCAAUGACAAAGUUACGACAACAAUUUGAAAAGUGUUAGUAUGGAAUGAGCAAGAACACAGUCUAAUAGCAUGGAAGUUUGCGAAAGUGUCAUGUUCAACUGAAAGGUUUACGUAACUCGUGGCUCACUGUCAAAAGAAGGCAGGAACUCUGUUAAAGUUUACGAAUUAAAUUGCCAAACGAAAAUUUGCCAAACGAAGCGAUGUUUUGGUGUCGUUGACUGACAGAGAGACUCGAAGCCCCAUAAAUCCAAGAGUUAGUCUGUAGGAUGCGAACAGUACGUCAUAUGUUAUAAGAGUUUCCAUCUGAUUUCAAAGCUGAACGGGGCACUCUUGAGAUGAUUUCAGUAUUAAUCAGUUUAUCGAAAAAUAUGAAAUUUCCCUUAUAGUAGCGACACUGACUAGACAACGUAAAGUUUAGAACUGAACUGAAUUGACAAAAUUGUAGUAAUGUUAUUGCAAUACGUGAUAUGAACCAAGCUAAGAUGCACAGAGUCAAACAUAGAACAUCCCAUUGACUUUCUCCAAAUUUCUAACGUUGCUGUUUGCGAAACAGUGAAGGAACCUUUCAUUAAGUAUUCGUGAUACUGAGCAAUGAGUGAAAGUCCAUGAAAGAUUCAUAUAUUGACUGACUGACCCACAACUACCUAUCAACCAAUCUAUGUCAAUUUGUAGCAGUUCCAAGAUUGUUUGUUUUAGGACAUUUGCACAUUAAAAGUUAAAGCACAUGAGUUUGUCAUAUCAAUGUAUUCAUAGCCGUAAUCUUUCGCGUUUUCCAAGCGGACGGAGGUAAGUGCGGGUGACGCCAAGGGGGAGCAUAAUUUUUUUUUCUUUCAAACAAAUUACGCCUGUUCUGUGGACUAAUGUAUUCAAAUCAAAAGUAUACAACGUGCCCUAAUUUAUUCUUCAUGAUGUAGAAGCUUUCAAUUUGGAUAUUGUUUGUUACGAUUUUAGAUUUAUUUUUCAACCUGUAUCUAAUCUCAUUUACUGUGGUAGUCAUACAUCAAUUACGCCGCAAAAAGAGGCGUUCAUUCACAUAAAUAUUUUUCACAGACUUACCGUCAGAGACUAAGUGUUUAUAGUUCUCGUUGAAUUUUUCUUUAUAUUUAUCAAAUGAAUGAGCUUAAAUCUUUAAAUAUACGCAAGUAAAGAUAAGUAACGAUAAAGACCUGAGUUGGUCUUCCAAAUUAUAGCGAGGUAAUGACAAUCGUUUUUAGAGCAAUGCCAGAAUGCCCACUAUCGAAUUUAUUAAUUGGACUUACAAAGUGUGGAGAUCCCACUAUUGCACAUAACAGCGUCGGUUCGCUUUACCCAGAUAAUAAUAUAUAUGUUUAUGUAAGCUCAACUGUUUAAGGAUUAAGUUUCAACCCACGAGGUCCACGUUGUAACCUUCAUGGUUCUAUCUGUCUUAGGACAACAGCACAGCGAGGCAUCAGAUAAUGAUGAGCCACAGUCAACAGUUUAUAAGCGGAAACAGGGCAAGACAAGUCUGCCCUGAUACCAAAGCUUUAGCAUAACAAGGCAUAAGCAUCGUAAUGGAAUGUCCAAGAAAUAAGUAACGGAAACUAAUUACUUUAAGAUGGCAAUGAUACUUCAAGAGAAAAAUUACUGAUCUCUAACAAACCUAUUCACAUAUAAACAAGGAUUGGACAAGAAUUUCAUCCAAACAAGCCAUAAAAAAGUAACUCUAGAAAUAUUUCAGUAAAGGAAAUGUGCAAUAUACAAAGGCUAAGGUGAAUUUAUCAAGCAAGAAAAUAUUAAAAUUUUUUGCGUGAGUUA